UUCUGAUGAUGACUUGCCAUGCUAAUACAGAGAACUGGAACCGGAUGUGCUGGAACCAGUCUACCAUGAGUUGAUAUUCGCAUGACUGAAGAAU